rnacentral:misc_RNA from 1 species
CCCUAAGUAUGGCGCGUUUAAUAUUUUAUUUUUAGGCUUCACUAAUUUUACGUAGUUUUCGAAUCUCACCAAUGGAAAAAAAUAAAAAGACGAGCUUCAGAACUCAAAGUAUUAAAAGAUUUUUAUCGCCGCAGCCUUCAAAUAUUCCGUGUAAAAAGCCCCGCAAGGCGAGUGUUAAGAUUGGCCCCAAAAGCAAGGUGCGCGGAGCUUGUCUCGUUGCGCAGAAUGAUGAAAAUUUUGACGAAAUGGGCGAGAGGAAAACUGACAGCAAUAAUGGUGUUGCGGGUCAAAAUGAGCCCCACGAUUCCAGCACCACUUGCGCAUCAGAGCACAAAUUCGAUUGGAAUAGCUUUGUGCGGGAUCCUGGGGAGCUUAGCGAAGCACGUUAUCCUGUCACAUUAAAUACCUUUAAAACAAUGACAUACAGUAUUAAUGUCGCCCAACGCAUACUUGAGGACAUUAAAAAUGCUACCGGCCUCGACUUCUUGAGCGAUCAAUUUAUGGUAGACAGAGUUUUGAAAAAUUAUUACAAAUAUUUUUAUGAGCAACCACAAAUUCGUGAUAUGUAUAAGCUGGAGACAAAAGCGUGCCCGGUGUUUGUAAAAAAGAAAAUAAUGCAGAUACCAAAAUUAGAUGGAAAGGGGGGAGUUGCAAGUACAGUAGAAGCAGAGAAUUCUGAUGAUACCAAUAAAUCAAUCCAAGUCCAGCCAGCUGAGCACGUAGGUCAAGUGGUCAAACCAAAGAAAUUCGAGCUGGUGGAAGCACAAUCCACGAAAACGCAAGCAAACAGCCUAUCACCACAAAGUACAAGUCCAUUCAGAACCAUAAAUCGUAGGAAUAUAAUAUUCAUUGCGAAAAGAACAGAUCUUGCUGAAUCAAAUUUAUUACUCAACCAUAUUAGGCGUCAUGUCCAAGAUGUUGAAAAACAACAAGAGAUAUUGGAAAGAAUUAAAAUUGACGUUUUUCGACAAACGAAACAAACUCAACAUAAUCUAUCAGAUCAUAAUGUGGAAGAAAAAAUGUGUUUGGAUGAGUCUGAGGAAGAGUUGUCUAACAUUACUGUAAGCUCUCCAAACACAACCACUUUAAACUUGGCAAGGCAGCGCAUUCAAGACGCCAAAGAAUUAUUUUUUCGUGAAUACGAUAAGUCAAAUACACUUGCAUAUGCAUUACGUUUCCACCAAGGCCUCAAGCGUCGCAUAAUUGAAGUUAUUCUUAAAAUGACCUUCGAAGAAUUCAAGGAAUAUACAAGAAUACACAAUGCACCAGAAAUUUAUGAUGAUGAUGAAUUUCUGGGCGGAUUUUAUGAUUAUGCAAUUAAGGAGCCACAAAUAUGGCCUAUAAAUCUUUAUAUGCCGUUAAGCGCCCUAUUUGAGUUUCUCAAAUUAAAAGGUAUUACACUUUCUGAUUAUAGUUUAGAAGAUGUUACGCCAAUGCUUUUGCAUUGGAGUGAACUGGCCUGUACUACUAAUUUUGAUAACGUUAUGCGUUGGGAUUACUAUCGUUGUAAGGGUGAACAUUUAAAAGAAAAUGAAACUCUGGAUGGGUACCGUAAAUUAUUUUAUGAAAAAUGUUGGUUGCACAAUAUUUGGGUGCGGAAGUCACCAAAAGUGCAAAUAAAAAAGCAGGCCAGAGAAAUACUAGAAAAAGAAGUUGAGAGGGAAAUGGCAAAAGAAGUAGCCAGUCAGGUUGAGAAGGAAGCUAGCGCGGCUGAGGUGAGCAAUAAUGACGAAGUUGGAGAAAAAGCAGCAGUUAGCAAUAAUGAUAGCGCAAAAGUGCAGAAAGUUUUAGCAGCCAUUGAAACAGUAGCCGAAGGUGCGAUUCAGUUAGGUACUGGCAAUGUUGAGCCCCCGCAGCCCAUGAAUGUAGAGAAUUUUGGACACAUAGAUGAGGGGAACGCCGAUACGGAAAUGCAAGAUCUUGGAGAUAAACGGGAAACGCAUCAAGUAAACAAUGAUAAAGAGCACCAAGCAAUAUCGAUUGAAGAAAUUGAAGUCAUUAAGCAGGAAAGAAGUUGCGUAGUAAAAGAGUCUGCAAGAACAGAAACUGCAAUAGCGGCAUUGGAAGAAGAAACAGUCUCAGACCAAACUAUUGUAAUGGCCAAUGGAGCCACGACCGCACAGCCAUGCGUUACUGAUGCUGAAAAUUUAACAUUGACGGCGACACAGGGAGUUUUAGGUCAGCAUAUGAAUAGUGCGGAGCAAGCACGCUUACAGCAAGCAAUAGAUCUGUAUUUUGCAAAAGUUGAGAAUUCAUGUACGCUUCCUUAUCUCCUACACUAUCACAGUGGUCCAAAACGCAGAGUAAUUGCCAGUAUUCUAAAUAUGUCUUUCCCAGAGUUCAAACAAUAUACGCGUAUAUACGAAGCAGCAGAGAUUUAUGAAAAUGUAGAACUAUUAAAGCGUUGCUAUGAGCACACAAUAAAAUCACCUCAAGUGUGGCCCAUUAAUCUUUAUAUGCGUAUAUCAGAUGUCUUUCAGUACCUUAAAUCAAAGGACGUUGCACUGCCUGAAAUCGGUUUAAAGUAUAUUUCACCGAAAUUAUUCCAUUGGCGAAAUUUAAUUGCGACAACAAAUUAUGAUCAUAUAGUCAUUUGGGACUACUAUCGAAGUACUGGUAAAAAAUUCAAUCGAAGUAAUACUUUUCUUGAUCCAUAUCGACAGUCAUUUUAUAAGAAGUGUUGGUUCCAUGACAAAUGGAUAUGGUAUACGCCGAAUAUUUUAACUAAAGUAAUGAGAUGCAUAAUGAACGAGCAAAGCAUGCCGCCAGAAAAUAAUGAAAGUUCUAUUUUUGAAAGAUCAGUUGGGUUGCACGCCGUAGAGCAGGUACAGGAAACCAGCACAACUAAUGUGACUACCGAAGUUGUAGGCAGAGGUGAUGAACAAGCUGUGGCUUCGGAUUGCAAGAUGCCUAGAACUGUUGAGACGGGAAUUCAAACCUCACAGAAACUUCUUGGAGAAUAUUUAAAUUUGGGAUUGCAAGCAACUACCCGCAACGAGCCCGUAAACUUUGAAAAUCCCGCAACUACUUUUCUGCCAUGCGAAAUCAUCAAACAAGAAAAACUUGUGCCUCUCAACAAAUUGCAAUUUAAUCUAACUGAGGAUGAGGAAAAUUACGAAUGUGUGCAAGCGCCAGAUGAGAUAGUUCUUUUAGACACUACUGCUGCUUCAAGCCAGUCACAAGACAUAACGUUACAAGCUCCACUAUCGAAUUCCGAAAAUUUGGUUACACAUGAUGUCAAUGUGUUAUUCUCGAGCGGCUCCAUGGAUAUAAGUAAUUUAUGCAACUGGCCGCUAGCACCUACAGAUAGUCAAAGUCAAAAAUCGAAUGAAUUUAACACACUUCAGAACCGAACGGAAUUUAGCGAAAAUAUUGAUCAACAAAGCACUGCUGCUACAACAACAACACAACAUCAACAAAGCGAACAAGAGCAGCAGAAAGAAAGGUCACUGUCGCAAGAGCAUUGCUUGGAGGAAGUACAAACGCAGCAACAAGAGCAAACGCAGCAAAAAGAGCCAGCGCAUCAAAUUAUACAACAAUCUUCACAAAAAUUGCAAACAAAGCAACAAGCAGACCGGAUUUCGAUACAAGAAGUGCAAAUACUAUCGGGGCCACAACAAAUCUGGAAAGAUAUUGCAAAAACAAAUAAGCAAGCGAAUGCGCCUUUUGAAAUACAAAUUUCACGAUUGAAGGAGAAUCAAGCAAAAGUUCAGCAACAGGCAGACGUAAAUCUAAAGCAUUCGAAGCAUCAGCAGGCGUUACAACAACAGCAAGAACCUCCAUUAAUGCGUGUAAAGCAAGAGAGCGCGAAGACUUCAAAGCAACAAAAGCACACUGAUGCUCCAAUUGCUGUAACCCGAAUCAUUCAAGACACCAAGAAGCACCUUCAGGAAAAUCCACAAUUCGUGGAUGUUACUGAUUUACAAAUUUCCAAUAGUCAAAGUCAUCCAUCAACUAAUGAACGGCCCAGCUCGUCCCUGCAAGCACAAGUUUGGCGAAGAGAGGAGCAAAAACAAGGGACCAACCAACGAUUAGAAACACCAAUUCAGCAACAGCGAUGUAGAGACGAAGGAGAAAGCUAUCAGAAGACUCAGCAAGGGUCGCAAGGAGAAUCUCAAAUACCGCAGUUAGACAAAAGUGUAGAGCGACCGCAAGAGCAACAGAGACAAGUGCAAACUCUAGCAAAGGAACAACUAUCGCCAGUGCACCAACAAUCAUCAAACACACAGCCACAACAACAGCUAGCACAAGUUUGCGUGGAGCAACCAAUAAAGCAAGAACAAGAAAUUGAAGCACAACUGGAAGCUAUAUUUGGCGAAAGCACGGAAAUGCGGCUGCAAGAAGUUCAACCAACUGUGACGCCUCAGAUUAAAGAGACGCCAAUCAAAUUACAGUUUCAAGAGCCGCCAACUCAAUCCACCCAUGCAAUAAUCGAAUGCCAACUAGCGCAAGAACAAGCAUUGCAGGCACAUGUGAAUUGCAAUGAUUCGACAGAAGCUUAUACUAAAGUCGAGAUCAUUUCACAACAUGUGCAAUCGCAGCAACAGCAACAGGAACAGCAACCACAACUCGCCAAAACCCAAUUAAUACUGCAACGUACACACACUCAAGUGGAAGAACAGCUUAUGCUUCGAUCUUGCAGUUUGCCACAAGAGAUGGCAAUACCUGUGCAACCUCUAACCAAAUUAUCUCGGCAACGCACAGCAACAUCUACGUGCACUACAAAAACUAAAACUGUUAAAACUACAAAGGCCGCUGCUACACGAAGGGCAGUCACAAAACAAAGUGAUUUUGUACCACAAAUCACACAUAAUUUUCAACCGCUACCUAUAGCUUUGAACACAAAAAAACUGUCAACAUAUUCUGCACCAUCCAGCGUUAUCCGCUUUCCAACCGCAAGCAAUCAAACCCCAAAUAAUUUGCCAACAAAUAUAUCAACGCCAGUUCCGGGCGAACAAGUUAUUGCUGGAAAUACUAGUACUGUCGCUCUCUCUGCACCGAAUUCCAAUAUGUUGGUGUUAUCGCUACCAGCAUCUAUGCCUUCCUCAAGUUCCAACAGUAGUUCAAAUGCAUCAUUUAUCUACACGCUAAGUGGUGAUAGUACGUUUUUUAAUAGCUCUGAGUUGUUGAGGGCGAUUGAGCAUUAUCAGCUGCAGCGUAGCCAGCAACAACAGCAGCAACUACACUUACAGCAGCAGCAGCAGCAGCAGCAGCAGCAACAGCAACAGCAUCUACUACAGCCACAACAUUCACAAUUAGUUUUUGGGCAGUCACAAAUGGUUCAACUGCCACAUCCACAUAUUGAACAGCUGCAGGUGCAGCAUCCACAACAGCAACAGAGUGAAGUGUUUCUCCAUCAGCAUAUGGAACAAAAGCAACAGCAACAUAUUCAUAUAUCACAACCUUUAAUGACAGAGCACAGAUCGCAACAGCAACAGCAAAAGCAACAACAACUACAACAGCAUUUGCAGAUUUCACAUCCAUUGGCGAUCGAAUGCAGCCCACAACAACAACCGCAGCAACAUCAGCAACAACAGUUUCAAGUGGUGCCCCCGCCUCAGCCGCUUAUAUAUCAAUUAUUAGAUGUGACACAGGUAAACACUUCUACUACCACACAGCUAGAGGAUUGUAAUGCCCUUACGGCAGAAUAUCAAAUUAACCCAGAUUCCAUAUAAAAAGCGAUGCUGCUAUAGUUAUUAAAAUCUCUGGUUGCAAACAGUAGCCGUCUUAGUUGAGAUCAGUAGAACUGCACAUUCACAUGAAAUUCCUUUUUUUGUGAGGUUUGGGUUUAAUGGCCGGGAUAUUGAAAUCCACACAAUGCCAGGUUGAAUCUCCAUGAAUGUUGUAGUAUUUGGAUUUUAUAAAUGUGGCACUUGCUGUGUGUCAAGUAUUGACAACCACUUUGACAACUUUGGUUAAUGGAUGCAAUUAGAGAUAUUUUGUUAUUAUCACUUACCUCAAAUUUCAUUUCUGUGAGUAUGUCAUCUACAUCAUCUUUAGAAAAAAUUGCACCAGCUAAUGGUGUGAGCACGAUGAAGUCCUUGGUAAUCAGGGCUACAAACCACUCUAAAAAACGGGGCGGUUUGGUUCAAUGGUUCGAACCAAUUAGAAAAGCUUGUACCGCUUCAAGAACCGGAUGCAAAUACUACAAAAAUAUCAUAAAUCUACGUAUAUACAUAUAUAAAAAUAAAAGCCUUUUUUUCAGAUCAAAUUCACCUAUCCACAUGUAUAGUGGUGUAAAUUUUAUGUUUAUUGUUUUAAGUAUAAUUUGUGCAAAAAAUUUUG